AUUGAACGCUGGCGGCAGGCCUAACACAUGCAAGUCGAACGAGUGGCGGACGGGUGUGUAAUGUCUGGGAAACUGCCCGAUGGAGGGGGAUAAGUACUGGAAACGGUAGCUAAUACCGCAUACUAUCGGAUGUGCCCAGAUGGGAUUAGCUAGUAGGUGGGGUAAAGGCUCACCUAGGCGACGAGCCCUAGCUGGUCUGCGAGGAUGACCAGCCACACUGGAACGGAGACACGGUCCAGACUCCUACGGGAGGCAGCAGUGGGGAAUAUUGCACAAUGGGCGCAAGCCUGAUACAGCCAUGCCGCGUGUAUGAAGAAUGCCUUCGGGUUGUAAAGUACUUGCAGCGGGGAGGCGUUACCCGCAGAAGAAGCACCGGCUAACUCCGUGCCAGCAGCCGCGGUAAUAC
rnacentral:rRNA from 1 species